rnacentral:lncRNA from 1 species
CGACGUCAAACGACGGCUUGGGGGAUUGGGAGAACGCGCUGGGCGGGGAGGACGGGGACGGCGAGCCGUGCCUGGAGCUCAAGAGAAACAGGGCGACGUACUACGUGUACGCGUUCAGGAAGAGGACGGGUGCGUCGCUCGUGGCGGAGCGGGUCGUGAACGAACUGGUGGAAGAGAGCGUCGCGAGCGGGCAACGGGUGUUUCCCUCGUGAGUGCCCAACUUUUUAAUCUUGUCACAUGUGAGCAUAACGCGACACGGUCAGAAAAAAACCGCGAGUCGUCCGUCCCCACUGACGCGUGCGCAUGUCCAUAGCUCGGACGUGCCUCUCCCUCACUUCUCGUCAUCUCACAUCGCGGCGGGUAAUCUCGCACGUCGACCGCGUCGUCGGAUCGCACAAGCCGCCAGCAAGGGCCGCGAGUCCUACCCUUAGACGAACGGGGAAGAAGCUUCGGGAAGGACCCGCUGCUGCCACGAUGCCAGGACACGAUUGGGAGUCUAUGUGGGCUGCCGGCCUCGAGCCAGGGCAGGCUUUCGAUGCCAGCAGGGUCGAGCCCGCGUUCCUCGACCUCAUAAUGACAGGGACGCUACCUAAAGGAGACGCGCUGGUUCCUGGAUGUGGCAGAGGGUACGCGGUGGCAGCUCUGGGGUCAGCCGAAAGGAAAGUCACGGGGUUGGAGAUUUCGGCCACAGCGAAGGCCGCUGCGGACACGUACCUGUCCACGGCCAAAGCCGGCGACGGCAGCGCAGCCUCCGAGCACUGCACCGUUGUGGUGGACGACUUCUUCACCCAUACGGGACGGUACGAUCUGGUCUACGAUUGCACCUUUCUCUGCGCCAUUCCCCCUAGUCGUCGAGAGGAGUG